UCCGAGGGUAGAUUUAAAAAAAUUCAGAAUAAGAAUUCUGAAGGCUUGAACGAUCCUUUUCACAAACGGAUAGAUAUGAAAUUGCGUGCUUUAUCUGAUAGGUUCUCUCCUUUUAAUUAUUAUUAUUAUCAUUGUGUGUUGAUUAUAUGAGGUGUUAGCUCUUCCUAGACCUCUCAUCAUUUCACCUGUAGCUAGUGAAGCUUAGUGGGAAGCAUCAAUAAAUAGUUGUUGGCAUAUUUGAUAAUUUUAGAUAGUUGCUGAGGCAGACAUGGUGGUCCUCAGGUCAAAAUAUAUCUUUGCCUGAUCUUUGUAUAGGUGGUAUGACUAUAACUGAACCAUAUGUUCUGUUUUAUCAUAUAUAACUGAAUCAUGAGUUUGUUUAUAUUUUAAACCUACAUGAAAGGAAGUGUGCUUGUUGACGAUGGUUAUUGUUGCUGAAUCCAUAUCCUGGUUCAGACUCAUAUUUUGCUAUUCUUAGGUGGCGGGCUUGUACGGCAUCGCGAGCAGGAGGGCCAUGAGGCGUGUGCUGCUCUGCUCCUAGGGCGACCAAGAGGUCCUGCCCCGAGCUCAAGCACGUCCACGCCGACCCACCACGACAGGUAGCAUCUGCAACUCCCUCUCAUCUUCCUCUGCUCGCUAUUGCUGCUCCGAAUUAUACAUGUUGGCAAAGAGAUGUCCCUGUUUUCCUCAGUACUAUGCACUGCUAUAUUUAUGUGGUUGUCUUUGUGUGCAUCUUAUUUUUAAACCAAGUGAGACACCUCCAUCCCCUACAUCUUGACGAUCCCUCAUGCGUUGCUCUCACUACCUCCUGCCCCUAGAUUUCCAAUUGCAUUUGUUGCCUGCUCAUUUAAUUAAUUAAAACUGCAUGUGUGCGUGUAAGUAUAUCACUUUGCUGUUGUUCAUCUUCAAAAUAUAUGGAUAUACCUAUUCCUACAAUGUUUUGAUUUCCUAGGUAGGUCUGUAUUAGGCAGUGUUUCUUCUAUGAAGAACUGUGCACUAGUGAUAAUAGUGUGAUAUUGUUAUUUACCCUUUACUUUUUGGGUGCUGGUUGGUGUGUGAGCGAUCGUAAGUGCAAAUCGUUUGUCAUUCACUGUUAUUUACUUAUGUGAUCAGCAUCAUUUCUAUGUAGAUAUGAAACUCUUGAGUAUAUUUUCCUUAUAUGCCCCUUCCAUACCAUUCCCACUCAAACCAAAGCUUCUGUAUGCACUUGAUAUUUGCAAUGAGACUUGAGAGAAUUUCUGUAUGCACUGAAGUUUUCUCUAAUAUAGAUUUCUCAAAUCUCUAUCGGAACUACUCUAAUAGAAAAUGGUGCUAACUGUUAAAGCUCUUCGUGGUGACAUGUUUUUUACCAAUACAAUACUAUAUUAGCACUCAAGGACAGUUUGAGUGAUAGGCUGUUCAUACUUUUAGAGAAGUGAAUUGAUUAAGCUAUUGCUUUCCCCAACAACAAAAAAUAAACACGACAGUUGAACAACGUGUAUCCCUUCACUUGAAAGCCUAUGAAACUUCCUGUAGCAGCAGAGCAGCACACUUUAUAUAUAUAUAUAUAUGUAUGAGGUUGGGUAGUUCAACUCUACUUUACUUCCUAACUGAUUCAUAUAUAUGAUGGAAAUUGUGCAGGUUCCAUUGUGCCAAGUGGCCUCUGGCCAUCUUGCACUGGACUCCAGUAACAAGUAGAUGUUGUUGCCGCACUCAAUAUUUUAAGUUGUUUUUUUCUUUUUUGAGAAAUGUUAAUCCCCCAGUUUCCCUGUUAAUAACCUGAGAACACUUGCGUCCUCCCCAACCUUCGCCCCAGCCUGCCGCUGCCGGCAUGGCGCGUGGCUCUCACCGCAGUAGCUAAUUAGAUUUUUGGGACUCGGUUUCUAUGCUCUGCUCGAUAGCAUUUUGGAUAUUGAUUGGACACGCUUUAUAUAAAACGAUUUAUCUUGUACAUUGCUCUGCCUAACUUGUAUACAUGAAACCAUACUUGUCAAAUAUUGAGUAUCACUGCUGAAUAAUAACGUCUUGUUUUCUGUUCACUGAAUCACAAUUAUUCUCUCUUUUUACCAUCAAUCCAUCUUCUUACAGUUGCAUGUUUUUUUGGCUGUCCAGAUGACCAAGCCCAAGGAGGAAGCAGCUGCUCAUCACUGAGGACAAGUAACUCCAGCAGGUUGACGCCGUAGAUUCACAAUGUACCUUCUCUAUGCCCAUCCAGUUCUGUGAUUUGUGUCUUGAAACCCAAAAAACCCCAUGCCCAUGUGGGAGCUGAACCAUAGUUUUUUGCUUGUGGAAAAUAAUAUCCUUGGCUGAAUUGACUUGAGGCGGCUUCUUCGAAAUUCUUGGAAAUGCUUUGGUAGUUUCUUUCGGCGAGAAACUGUUUCAUACUGAAGUUUACUGGUACAUGUGUGGUUUUCUACUGUUACUUCGUUUGGGUUGGGUUGGCACCAGCGGGGAGAUGUGCACGCACGCUGGCAGCAUGAGCUAGCAGCCAUGAUUGCCAGCCAGCCACCACCAUGUAAAUGUAAUAAAUAUGUGGCCUAUCUAGUGUGCUGCUGUUAGAAAUAUAGAUGUGUGGCCUAUCUAGUGUGCUGCUGAUAAUCUGUUUUUACCUCACUUGGCAAGCACCAUAAUCAGUUUUUACCUCACUGUACUGCAGGAAUAAAUGUGUGGCCUAUCUAGUGUGCUGCUGAUAGAAAUAUAGAUGGAAGAUUAGUUGACUAGUUAUGGAAUCUAUAAUCCUUCAUAUAUACUGCCGUUGUCUAUGCGUGCUGCUGCUUCAUACACGUUUAAUCAAAUCUAUCAAGCAGCUGUUGUCAUGUCAUGCUUGUUGUAUUAACAGCCAAUUUAGUUGCUGCCAGUUCAAGGUUUUUAGUACAUAUCAUGUUCUAUUUUGCUAUUGAACACCUUCCAACUUAAAUGCUGAAUUGCCUUGUACACAUAAUUGUUUGUAAUCUAUGGGAAAGCCGUUAAUAGUCAGCUGACCUCAUGAACUGUAAAAAUAUAUCAAAAUCUUGUGUUGUUAAAGUGAACUUAUUGUCAAUUCUUGCUUAUAAGCUAUGUUUGAUGUUGUCUACAGGUUCUUAUUCCUUUUUUUGCAUAGGUGAAGUAUGAAGUGUGAAGCCGUGAAGCCUAUCAGCAAGAGUAGCAUAUUAUGUAUUGUAAUAUCAGGAGUGUAAUAUUAGUCAGAGUAGCAUAUUAUGUAUUGUAACAUUUAGUGUUGUUUUGGAUGAAUUUCAUUUGCUC
rnacentral:lncRNA from 1 species